GAUCUCGUAGCUCAGCUGGUAGAGCAAUACACUUUUAAUGUAUGGGCCCUGGGUUCGAAUCCCAGCGAGAUCA
rnacentral:tRNA from 1 species